rnacentral:rRNA from 1 species
UCCGUAGGUGAACCUGCGGAGGGAUCAUUACCGAGUUAUACAACUCAUCAACCCUGUGAACAUACCUAAAACGUUGCUUCGGCGGGAACAGACGGCCCCGUAACACGGGCCGCCCCCGCCAGAGGACCCCCUAACUCUGUUUCUAUUAUGUUUCUUCUGAGUAAAACAAGCAAAUAAAUUAAAACUUUCAACAACGGAUCUCUUGGCUCUGGCAUCGAUGAAGAACGCAGCGAAAUGCGAUAAGUAAUGUGAAUUGCAGAAUUCAGUGAAUCAUCGAAUCUUUGAACGCACAUUGCGCCCGCCAGUAUUCUGGCGGGCAUGCCUGUUCGAGCGUCAUUACAACCCUCAGGCCCCCGGGCCUGGCGUUGGGGAUCGGCGAGGCGCCCCCUGCGGGCACACGCCGUCCCCCAAAUACAGUGGCGGUCCCGCCGCAGCUUCCAUUGCGUAGUAGCUAACACCUCGCAACUGGAGAGCGGCGCGGCCACGCCGUAAAACACCCAACUUCUGAAUGUUGACCUCGAAUCAGGUAGGAAUACCCGCUGAACUUAAGCAUAUCAAUAAGCGGAGGA